CUCGAUACUCGGAUGAAAGGACACCACCGGAAAGCCCUUUUGAAGCCUGCUCUGAACCUGCAGGAGAUCAUCUGCACACUCAGUGGGGCUUAAAUGGCGUAUUAGUUAAAAUAAGCUUCAGCUGGUUCUCUCUCCAUACCUUCCUCUUGGCGCGGAGCUGACCGUGAUAGUUGUCUGACGAAUCUCCUGGAAUUUCACUUCCCCACAACGUCACUCCGAUUAUGGUGUAAGCAAUUCCAAUCACCACUAGGGGCAGCAUGUAGACCAGCACAGACACUAUGGCGUGGUACCUGGACCAUCACAAAGAGAAUCUUCAGCUGGUCUUGGCCAAGCAACAUAGCAGAUCGUUCUUCGUGGUAGACUCCUGAUGGUGGAGUAGAAGCAGAGAGGAAAUGCCAGAACCACAGCGAGAACCCAAAUACACACAAUGACCACUUUAGUGGCUGUGGCUGAUAGUCUGGGCUUCAGAGGAUGGAUGAUGGCCAUGUACCUGUCACAGAGACGUCACCAUCAAUCACACUGUCACAAAACCAGCACUGAGACGAGCUUCUGCUGUCUGACAGAGAUGGCGGUCAUGGAGUAGAUGCUGGCGAACACCGAGGUGACCGGGAAGAAGUUGUGGAACUUGCAGUACGCCUCUCCGAAGUACCAGUCCCCGUGCGCUGCGUAAAUGAAGUUAAUGAGCGUGUUAAACGCGGCCAUG